AAGGCCCCAACUUGGAUUGAAGCUCCAUUGCACUGGUUGCUGUAUAAAUGUAGAAGACACGAUCCCUGCUCUGAAAGCCUCACAACCUAAACACAUAACAUGAUGGUAUGCAUGAGUCAGGAUGAAUCGGAUAUGCACCCUACAGCGAUAUGAGGAGGCUUGUGAGACCUCCCUAAUUAAUGUCUGUGAAGUGCGCUGAACAUGAAAAACAGUCCAUACGUCAUUUAGGUAAAGUCAUUUAGGUAAAGUUUGAAAAAAAGAAAGAAAGAAGGUAGCUCCAUGUUUUGCAACUCAUUCUUCCUUACCCCACUCCGGAAAUAUUCUACCUGCAAAUAUUUUCACCAAAGAAGAACGGAAAAUCAGAAAGUAGCCUCAGAAUAGGAAGGAUUAUAGUUAGAGGACUGAAGCUUUCACAUUUUAAAUAGCAAAUCCUCUAUUCUCCCUUCAGUACACAUGACAUGAGGCCAAUGGGAAUUAUAGUUGUGUAUCAAAUGGAUAUCUAUCUAUCUAUCUAUCUAUCUAUCUAUCUAUCUAUCUAUCUAUCCACCAUACAGUCACUACUACAGUACCCAAGCAACUAAUUAUAGGACCCCUUCAGUGUUUACAUGAAAGUUUAUCACUUCUAAAGCUAAACUGGGAGAGGU